GAUGAACGCUGGCGGUAUGCUUAACACAUGCAAGUCGAACGGACUCUUCGGAGUUAGUGGCGGACGGGUGAGUAACGCGUGAGAAUCUGGCUUUGGGUUCGGGACAACCACUGGAAACGGUGGCUAAUACCGGAUGUGCCGAGAGGUAAAAGAGAAAUUGCCUGAAGAUGAGCUCGCGUCUGAUUAGCUAGUUGGUGAGGUAAAGGCUCACCAAGGCAGCGAUCAGUAGCUGGUCUGAGAGGAUGACCAGCCACACUGGGACUGAGACACGGCCCAGACUCCUACGGGAGGCAGCAGUGGGGAAUUUUCCGCAAUGGGCGAAAGCCUGACGGAGCCAUACCGCGUGAGGGAAGAAGGCUCUUGGGUUGUAAACCUCUUUUCUUAGGGAAGAACAAACUGACGGUACCUAAGGAAUCAGCAUCGGCUAACUCCGUG
rnacentral:rRNA from 1 species